rnacentral:lncRNA from 1 species
AUCCGCUUCGGAAAUCAAAGGCCAGUUUCAAAUGUGGAACGCGAUCGAAACGAGCGACUGACUAGCCGUACUCCAAAUGGAAAAAGCCAUGCUUCAACAUCGCGGAAUUACGAGAGCUAGAUCGACUAUCGUAUUCCGCAUACGAUUUCUUAUCGAUCUACACGUGUAUAAAGUUCGCACGCGCCACGAUUAUCGCGGUGAUAGUGUAUCUACGGAUUUGUCGGUUGGACCGAAUUGGUCGCGAUGCCUUGGCUGAUCCGUCGAAUCUCGUAAUUUUGAAAACAGGGAAACAUCGAGCGCCAUACACACCCUUUCGCCCGAGCGAUCGUCGACGAAAAAGAAUGCCAGGACCCUCGGCGAGACAUCCGGGCUCUGAAGGGUUUCGCGUCAUCCCGCCAGGCGGCAGCAAGUCCUUGCAAAGGGUUUCGGCGGCAGGACGCACGCUGGACUUUUUUUGGUGCUCGAAAGGCGCGCACCGUGCUCACCGAGAGCCGGACGCCGAGGAGUGGGAGAAGAUGGGUCCUUGACUUAACUCGCGGUUAGUCGCUCUCCAGACGUGCAACGUGUGUGAGAUGCGAGCGGCGAACCGGACCGAAGGAAGCUGAUUUCUUGUUCAAGAAGCGAGCAAUUUUUAAUGGCACUUUGCAGACCGAUCAUUUUUUGUAAAUAUAUUUUUCGGAUAGUUCGAUGAAUUCUAAUACUACAGAAACGGCAUGGUUUUUUUUUUUUUUUUUUGGAAUUUUCAAGUAGAAGAGCCAGAAUCGGCUUCGUGAAACGAUAUGAAGACGUCAGAGUCGGAGUAUAAAGUACAAAGGGAAAGGAGGUGUGCGGCGGAUGGGGUUGAACUGACGAGUCAAAUUAAAGGUUUUAAUAAAGAGAUCAAUUUAUUUGACACUCUUGUUGUAAUAAGCGUGCUUUUCUAUCGUCAUAAUAGACAGGAAUAAUAAACUCAAUCUUUUACACUCAUAAAUAUAAAUAAAACAUUCUUACAUACGUCCUCUCUUUCUCUCUCUGUCUCUCUUUCUCUUUCUUAUCUACCUAUAUCUCCUCUCCUCUACAUAUUCUUUCGUCAACUUUUUCUCGUCGUAUCUCGCAAUUUCUUACAUCACUAAACCGUCUAAUCGGAUAAUCAUAACAAA